rnacentral:rRNA from 1 species
UACGUAGGUGGCAAGCGUUGUCCGGAUUUACUGGGCGUAAAGGGCGCGUAGGCGGGGAGGUAAGUCGGGUGUGAAAUCCCUCGGCUCAACCGAGGAACUGCGCCCGAGACUGCCUUUCUUGAGUCCCGGAGAGGAAGGUGGAAUUCCCGGUGUAGCGGUGAAAUGUGUAGAGAUCGGGAGGAACACCGGUGGCGAAGGCGGGACUCUGGGCCUACCCUGACGCUGAGGCGCGAAGGCGUGGGGAGCAAACGGG